rnacentral:tRNA from 1 species
GGAGAGGUGGCCGAGUGGUUUAAGGCAGCGGUCUUGAAAACCGCCAUAGGUGGAAGCCUAUCGUGGGUUCGAAUCCCACCCUCUCCGCCA